GGAAAUCUGGGAAUUGAUCUUCCACCUGAGAAGGUUCUCUAUCUCGUCUAAAUUGUUUGCAGUUCACGUCACUUAAUUUAGACAUGUUAAUUUUUGGGAGAGCUUACUGUUGAGAUUCACACACCAGCCAAUUCACCCGAAACUUAAACCUUAAGAGGCAUGGUGGUGAUGUACACGUCUUGUAACUUCAGUGCUCCCCUCAUGUUUGGGCUCCUACAACCACACACCAAGCUGCAUGGGCCUGAAGUGGUUCACAUGCUCUGGCCAAUUCACCCAAAGCUUAAACCUUAAGAGGCAUGGUGGUGAUGUCCACGUCUUGUAACUUCAGUGCUCCUCUCACAUUUGGGCUCCUACAACCACACACCAUGCUACAUGGGCUUGAAGUGGUUCACAAUUAUUUUUUAUUGACCACUAGAAGUAUAGAACCUUGACUUUGUUACCAGAUUGAGUUUCAUGCAUCUACUAGUUGACCCUAAUCCUAAGCUGUUGCGUGAAGAUGGACAAUAUACACUAGCUUUUAGUGUCAGUCUUCAACAUUUUAGCUCAAUUUCUUUGUUUCAUCUUAAGAUGCGAUUUGUCUUUGCCCCUAGGUAUAAGGUUCUAAUUUUUUUCUUUUCAAUCUGUAAUAUAAUGAUGCACAGCUCUCAUGCGUGCUUGAGAAAAUUUUAAGAUACGGAAUUGUUCCUGCUUUGCCGCUACUUUAUUUGGUAUUUCUUUGCCUCUCCAUAUCACAGG
rnacentral:lncRNA from 1 species